AUUGAACGCUGGCGGCAGGCCUAACACAUGCAAGUCGAGCGAGCGGCGGACGGGUGAGUAAUGUCUGGGAAACUGCCUGAUGGAGGGGGAUAACUACUGGAAACGGUAGCUAAUACCGCAUACCAUCAGAUGUGCCCAGAUGGGUUUAGCUAGUAGGGGGGGUAACGUCUCACCUAGGCGACGUUCCCUAGCUGGUCUCAGAGGAUGACCAGCCACACGGGAAGUAGGACACGGCCCAGACUCCUACGGGAGGCAGCAGUGGGGAAUAUUGCACAUUGUGCGCAAGCCUGAUGCAGCCAGGCCGCGUGGGGGAAGAAGGCCUUAGGGUUGUAAAGUACUUUCAGCGGGGAGGCGUUACCCGAAGAAGAAGCACCGGCUAACUCCGUGCCAGCAGCCGCGGUAAUUC
rnacentral:rRNA from 1 species